UUUUCCCUAUUUUUUCUACCUUCUAAUCGAAAAUGAAGACGCUGUGGUAAACAUUGCAUAAAUUAGUCAUGAGAAUAAUUCUAAUUAAAAAAUACAACUUUAGCGCCUUCUAAAACGAAGGAAAGUAGAUUCAUUUAGGUUACAG